GAUGAACGCUGGCGGCGUGCCUAAUACAUGCAAGUCGAGCGAACAGACGAGGAGCUUGCUCCUCUGACGUUAGCGGCGGACGGGUGAGUAACACGUGGAUAACCUACCUAUAAGACUGGGAUAACUUCGGGAAACCGGAGCUAAUACCGGAUAAUAUAUUGAACCGCAUGGUUCAAUAGUGAAAGACGGCUUUGCUGUCUCUUAUAGAUGGAUCCGCGCCGCAUUAGCUAGUUGGUAAGGUAACGGCUUACCAAGGCAACGAUGCGUAGCCGACCUGAGAGGGUGAUCGGCCACACUGGAACUGAGACACGGUCCAGACUCCUACGGGAGGCAGCAGUAGGGAAUCUUCCGCAAUGGGCGGAAGCCUGACGGAGCAACGCCGCGUGUGUGAUGAAGGUCUUCGGAUCGUAAAGCUCUGUUAUUAGGUAAGAACAAAUGUGUAAGUAACUAUGCACGUCUUGACGGUACCUAAUCAGAAAGCCACGGCUAACUACGUG
rnacentral:rRNA from 1 species